rnacentral:misc_RNA from 1 species
UCCGGCUUAGCACCGGCAGUCCCCUUAGAGUGCCCGGCAUUAUCCGCUGGCAACUAAGGGCAAGGGUUGCGCUCGUUGCGGGACUUAACCCAACAUCUCACGACACGAGCUGACGACAGCCAUGCAGCACCUGUGUAAUGGUUCCCUUUCGGGCACUCCCCAAUCUCUCAAGGAUUCCAUCCAUGUCAAGGGUAGGUAAGGUUUUUCGCGUUGCAUCGAAUUAAUCCACAUCAUCCACCGCUUGUGCGGGUCCCCGUCAAUUCCUUUGAGUUUUAAUCUUGCGACCGUACUCCCCAGGCGGUCUACUUCACGCGUUAGCUGCGUUACCAAGUCAAUUAAGACCCGACAACUAGUAGACAUCGUUUAGGGCGUGGACUAC